rnacentral:rRNA from 1 species
AGAGCGAACGCUGGCGGCAGGCCUAACACAUGCAAGCCGAGCGCUCCGCAAGGGGAGCGGCAGACGGGAGAGUAACACGUGGGAACGUACCCUUCAGUUCGGAACAACCCAGGGAAACUUGGGCUAAUACCGAAUACGUCCGUAAGGAGAAAGAUUUAUCGCUGAAGGAUCGGCCCGCGUCUGAUUAGCUUGUUGGUGAGGUAACGGCUCACCAAGGCGACGAUCAGUAGCUGGUCUGAGAGGAUGAUCAGCCUCACUGGGACUGAGACACGGCCCAGACUCCUACGGGAGGCAGCAGUGGGGAAUAUUGGACAAUGGGCGCAAGCCUGAUCCAGCCAUGCCGCGUGGGUGAUGAAGGCCCUAGGGUUGUAAAGCCCUUUCGGCGGGGAAGAUAAUGACGGUACCCGCAGAAGAAGCCCCGGCUAACUUCGUGCCAGCAGCCGC